UGAAACCCCAUAUCUACUAAAAAUAUAAACAUUAGCUGGGUGUGGUGGAGUGUGCCUGUAAUCCUAGCUACUCAGGAGGCUGAGGCAGGAGAAUCACUUGA